UACGUAGGGUGCAAGCGUUGUCCGGAAUUAUUGGGCGUAAAGAGCUCGUAGGCGGUCUGUCGCGUCGGCUGUGAAAACCCGGGGCUCAACCCCGGGCCUGCAGUCGAUACGGGCAGACUAGAGGUAUGCAGGGGAGAACGGAAUUCCUGGUGUAGCGGUGGAAUGCGCAGAUAUCAGGAGGAACACCGGUGGCGAAGGCGGUUCUCUGGGCAUUACCUGACGCUGAGGAGCGAAAGUGUGGGGAGCGAACAGG
rnacentral:rRNA from 1 species